rnacentral:rRNA from 1 species
UACGUAGGUGACCAGCGUUGUCCGGAUUUACUGGGCGUAAAGAGCGCGCAGGCGGUCGUUCAAGUCGAGUGUGAAAGCCCCCGGCUCAACUGGGGAGGGUCACUCGAUACUGAUCGACUUGAAGGCAGGAGAGGGAAGCGGAAUUCCCGGUGUAGUGGUGAAAUGCGUAGAUAUCGGGAGGAACACCAGUGGCGAAGGCGCCGCUCUGGGCCGUGACUGACGCUGAGGAGCGAAAGCGUGGGUAGCAAACAGG